rnacentral:rRNA from 1 species
CCAAUUGCGAAGGCAGCUUUCUGGAUCAUUACUGACACUGAGGAACGAAAGCAUGGGUAGCGAAGAGGAUUAGAUACCCUCGUAGUCCAUGCCGUAAACGAUGUGUGUUAGACGUUGGAAAUUUAUUUUCAGUGUCGCAGGGAAACCGAUAAACACACCGCCUGGGGAGUACGACCGCAAGGUUAAAACUCAAAUGAAUUGACGGGGACCCGCACAAGUAGUGGAGCAUGUGGUUUAAUUCGAAGAUACGCGCAGAACCUUACCAACACUUGACAUGUUCGUCGCGACUCUAAGAGAUUAGAGUUUUCGGUUCGGCCGGACGAAACAUAGGUGCUGCAUGGCUGUCGUCAGCUCGUGUCGUGAGAUGUUGGGUUAAGUCCCGCAACGAGCGCAACCCUCACUUUUAGUUGCCAUCAUUAAGUUGGGCACUCUGAAAGAACUGCCAGUGAUAAGCUGGAGGAAGGUGGGGAUGACGUCAAGUCCUCAUGGCCCUUACGUGUUGGGCUACACACGUGCUACAAUGGCAUCUACAACAGGAAGCAAAACGGCAACGUUAAGCAAAUCCCGAAAAGAUGCCUCAGUUCGGAUUGCACUCUGCAACUCGAGUGCAUGAAGCUGGAAUUACUAGUAAUCGUGGAUCAGCGUGCCACGGUGAAUGCGUUCCCGGGUCUUGUACACACCGCCCGUCACACCAUGGGAGUUGGUUCUACCUUAAGGCAAGGUUUCAAACCCUUGACCACGGUAUAGUCAGCGACUGGGGUGAAGUCGUAACAAGGUAACCGUA